rnacentral:rRNA from 1 species
GAUGAACGCUGGCGGCGUGCCUAAUACAUGCAAGUAGAACGCUGAAGGAGGAGCUUGCUCUUCUGGAUGAGUUGCGAACGGGUGAGUAACGCGUAGGUAACCUGCCUGGUAGCGGGGGAUAACUAUUGGAAACGAUAGCUAAUACCGCAUGACAACAGUUAUUGCAUGAUAACUGUUUAAAAGGGGCAACUGCUCCACUACCAGAUGGACCUGCGUUGUAUUAGCUAGUUGGUGAGGUAACGGCUCACCAAGGCGACGAUACAUAGCCGACCUGAGAGGGGGAUCGGCCACACUGGGACGGAGACAGGGCCCAGACUCCUAGGGGAGGAAGCAGGAGGGAAUCGGGGGCCAUGGACGGAAGGCUGACCGAGCAACGCCGCGGGAGGGAAGAAGGUUGUCGGAUCGUAAAGCUCGGUUGUAAGAGAAGAACGAGUGUGAGAGUGGAAAGUUCACACUGUGACGGUAUCUUACCAGAAAGGGACGGCUAACUACGUG